UUCUGUCUACACGCUUUCGAGAAUAGAAUAGACGAGACGGCUGUGAUUGACAAAGUAGGGGGAGGUGAGUCUUGUCUCCUUUCACUUUGUCGUACUCGGAGGAGUGGUGACUAGAGAGUACAUGCCAGACGAAACGACGGUGGCUCCAUACGGGGGAUUGUCGGGUUCUUAUGGGUGCAUUAACUAGAAAUUGGUUGGAAUUGGAAGUAACUGUAAGCGAGGGAGGGAAAGGAAAAGCAAAAAGUUUUAUGCGUUCGUGCUCCACAUCCGUGAAGCACUUCACUCGCUCAAGAAGACACAUAAAAUUACUAGCUUUCCUUUCUUUCGGGGCCAUUUCCUUCGCCCUUUCUUCUUAGUCUGAGGCAUCUCCCUCUCGUCCUAUUGUGGUAAGUUAACCGUAAAGUCUUGGAAGUUAGGGUUUUGCAAUCAUUCCAAUCCCUCUAGUCUUGGCAGUUUCAUUAAGCCAUUCUGCUAUCAUUCUAGUUGUUAGUGAAGUGACUGCCUGAUGUUCGAUCGUGUAACUGGCACCGCAGCCAAUGAAUGUCCUCAACUCGGAGAAAGGGAGUAAGGUAAUUCAUCAUCAACCAAGGCAGGAAUCGUUAGAGUAUUGUAUUGCCCUCCAAUAGGACUAUACAGAGCAGCGGGAAGGUCGGAAUCUAGUGAAUCUGUCUUUAGAGUGUAGCUCCGCACCUUACCCAUCGUGUAAUGACAGUGUGCCU
rnacentral:lncRNA from 1 species